UAUAUUUGGAGACCAUCUGUAUAUCUCUUCCUUUUGGAGCUCCCAUAUCUAUUCCACAGCUCACUGGUUUUUUGUUUGUUUGUUUGUUUUUAUUUUUAUUUUUAUUUUUGUUUUUGUUUUUUGUUUUUUUGACAAUUCUUUUCUGUAAGAGACUCAUCUCAAUUUCUCUGGGUCUGGGAUUAAAACAGUGUCAGGAACCAAGACGGUGCGUGUCUAUCAGGCAGUGUAUCAGAGUGUCAGGUUUUUACUUUUUCUUCUCUGAUGUCAUUAAGGAUUUCUCUGGACAUUUUCUAAUGCUAAGAGAUUCUAAGGGAUGUUACAGGGUAACAGAGUUGGGGUGCACCAUUACGCAGUAUAGAAGGUCAUAGCUUGUCUUAUUGGCACAGUCUAGUCUGGAUCUGAACUCUUCUUUUCCAAUGCCUUAUAAUAGUCAUUUAGCUAUGUGUUCUUGUUUCGCAGAUAUGUACUACUUGACCAAGUUGUUGCAGAUAUGCUACAAGUACUUAAAGAAGGAGUCUUAACUUGGGAAGUGUUAAUAGCUCCAUGGUGUCCAAAACAUCUGCUGCACAGGAAAUGCUCUUGAAAAGAUUUACAAAUCAACCACACUUACUGACUGCUUUUGUUCCAUCUAUACCAGAGACGUUCAAAAUCUCAAACGAAAUGCUGCAUGGGGAAGAGUUAUAUUAUCUGACUAGACUGGUGUGCUGGCCAAUGUGAGCCACUGCAGGAGCCCAGCUAUGUGCUUGAGUCAGGAAGACUUUUGCCCUGUCUUUCAUGUCCUAUAACAUAGCUCCCCAGCCACUAGUGAUGCAGUCUGAUGAAAUCCAGGUGACUGAAAAAAAUCUAAUUAAUAUGGUCUUAAUUAUGAUAGCAAUAAUACCCACCUCUCAGCAUGAGAAAGUAAGAUAUUAAGUUAGUAAUACUAAAUUUCCCAAGGGUGAUAAGACCCUUUAAGAUGAGUUAAUUUGAAAUUUACUGAUAUGAUAGAGCAGAAACAGACAUAUUUGAAAGAUUCCAAAGGGGCCAGCA
rnacentral:lncRNA from 1 species